UUCAAAGUUACCUUUGUCUCCCAAGAAAUUGUCUGAUUUAGAAGAUUAUAAAAGAAAGUGGAAUCAAGAACAAGAACUCUGGAAAAGUGAUGUUCAAGGCAUAAGACCCACCCUGGACCACUAAAUUUCCUCCAGUAAGAAGCAGGCUGAGAAAGCUGUACACUCUCCAAAGGCCCAGUUCAGAUAGUUACUGAGGAUAAGAAAAAUGGAAUAAGCUCCUGUAGUAGGCUGAAUAAUGGCCACUAAAGAUAACAAGUCCUGAUCUCUGGAACCGGUAAAUGUUACCUUAUAUCAGAAAGUAGCUUUUGCAGGUGUGACCGAGGAUCUUGAGUUGGAGAGAUUUUCCUGGAGUAUUCAGGUGGACCCUAAAUAUAAUAAUUUCAUAUGUUCUUAUAAGGAAGAGCAGACAAACCUUACAAGCAUGAGGUGACACACACAAAAAGCAAUGUAAAGACAGAACAGGGAGAUUUGAAGAUGCUGGCCUUGAAGACAAGGGUUGUAGUCACAAACCAAGGAAUGCUGGCCGCCACCAGAAUGUGGAAAAGGAAAGAACAGAUUCUUCCCUACCUAGAGUUUCCAGAAGGAGCACAGCCUUGCUGAUACCUUAAUUUCAGCCCAAGGUAUUCAAGUUUCAAACUUUAAACCUCUAGAAGUGUUGUAAGUUAAAAUUUUGGUAAUUUGUUCCAACAGCUCCAAAAAAACUAAUACAUCCCUCAGAAGCCAAAGCAGUGGGCCACAGCAAUGGAUAAAGGAGUUUUUCGGAGCAGAAUUAGGGACUAAUCAAGGAUUCUUUCUCAUUUUCAGGGUAAGAGACCUUCCUGUUGUCUCCUGAGUGGAAUUUUAGAAUUGCUAUGGACGAUUAAUUGCUUUAUGUCCACCAUUCUUCCUUUUUCUGAAUGAGAAUUUUCUAUUGCAGUUAUCCUGUUCUUGAUUUAGCAGUGCAUAUGGGAUAUGUUGGAGAAGUGGACCAGUAAGUUGACUCUUGGCUCAUAAAUCUAUGGAGAAGAACCAUGUCUCAAAGACGACAAAUACGCAGGUCCAGACUGUUAAGCUGGCUGCAACAAUAGGAUGGUACUUUAGGUUGUCUCCCUUGGGAAUCGAUCAAAUAUGUUCUUUGUGUGGUGUUAAAGAAAAUUUCAGAUGCUUGUUAAAAUGAUAAAGCAGACUUCAUUCAGAACUAUUGUGAUAGAGGUAGGAACUAUAGCAAUGGGGAUUUUGCAGUAGGGAAGAGAAAUUGGACUCAAAUCUGAAUACAUCCAGGACAAGUAGGGAUUUAUAGCUAAGGAGUAGCAUGGGAGCCAGCGGACAGAAAAGUUCUACAAAGAAACAUCAGGUGUAAGGGAGAUCGUGGCUAAACCCACUUGACAAGAUCCUUGCUGAAGGCAGACCAGAGAGAUAAGAUAUCAAGGGGGGUGGUAUGAGAAAAUUGAUCGUGUAUCAGAAGGGGGAAUUUCAUUAAACUGUUCCAGCAGGAUUCUUGCCAAAACUGAACUAAGUUGGCUAAGGACAGAGCCCAAGGUUAGGGUCUAGUCCAAGGAGACUGACUCAAGUCAAGAAGUCUUUGUUAGUAGAUGGAAAGAAUCAAAGGAAUAGUUGAUGGCCUGAUUAAGGCAGAGAUUGCUAGUGCUUUUCUAGUAUUCAUAUGCUUCUCUACCUCUCCAAGCUUCCCCUAGAAUAUGUUGAGGCUGCAUGACUACUUCUAGCCAACAUAAUUUAAAGAGUUGUGAGGGGUCACAUUUGAGGAAAGACAGUUAAGAACUAGUAUGACUUUGUCUCUUUUGCCCUUUUGCAAAAUCUUAGUGGUCAUGAAUAGCUGGUGCAGCUACAAGAUAGAGGCGGACAAUCUGAAUUUCAUUGGACUUUUCCUGAAUAAGAAAUAUACCCCUGUUAUGUUAAGCUCAUGGUACUUUGGAGUUUUGUUGUUUUUGUUUCAGCAACUCAAUCUAGCCUUAUCCAAAUUUAAGUGAUAAGCACUUAACAGAAUUAUUUUAGAACAUUGAUUUGGCUUUAGCCAUGAAGGCAAAUUAGAACGCGAAUCUCUUUUUUUGUACAUUUUGUAUUAAUCUGCCUCCAUCCUCACUUAAUAAAUUCAAAAAGGAUCUGUCUAAAGAAAAUGGAAUUUGUUGGCUCCCUUAGGUUGUUUAUAUGACUUUAACCCUGAGUACUGGGAAGAGAAGGAUAGGAUAUGAAGCUGGAGAUUCUACACUACUGUAUCCCCAAACACCAGCCCCUGGGGAUGAAAUGAAAGGCCUCAGGUGGAAACAAGUUUUAUGGGUUACAAGAAGAGAUAGAAGACUAGGAUAGGAGCAGAGUGAACACAGGAGAGAUUGUCAGAAGCCAGAUUAUGUAGGCAUCGUACACCAAGCUCAUUGUGUUGAGCCAUAUGCCAUGUGCUGAUUGAUGAGGACUGCUUUUUAGGAGAACUGGCUUAUCAUAUUAGCACCAUGGGGACAUGCUGAGCAACCUUAGAAAAAGUUUGUGUAGAAAAUCCAAAAGAAUUGACAAAAAUACUCCUGGAACUAAUAAGUUAUUAUAACAAGUUUGGAGGAUACAAGGUUAAUAUACAAAAGACAAUUGCUUUCCUAUAUACUAGCAAUGAACAAAUGGAAUCUGAAAUUUAAAACAUAAUGCCAUUUACAUUAACACUCAGCUAUAAGUCUUAAAAGUAUGUACAAGAUCUAUAUGGGGAAAACGACAAAACUCUGAUGAAAGAAAUCAAAGAAGAUCUAAAUAAAUGGAG
rnacentral:lncRNA from 10 species